UAAGACGCUUGUCGAUACCGCUGCGACUUGACUUUAGACCAACACCUAAUCCUAUUAAAUAAAAUCCGAUUUGUAUAUCAAGUAAUUCAAUAGUCUUCGCUUCUGUGACAGACAUUUUUUGACAAACCCCAUUUCUAGGCCAGAUCUGCAUCAUCCAGAUUUGAAUGAGACCACUUUCAAGUAUAGCAAUUAUUCUGAAACGAGACAGACAUCUAUCUGAAUAAGAAAUGGUUUAGAAU
rnacentral:lncRNA from 1 species